CGAGUGUGAAGAUUCCUUAAAGAACUAAAAGUAGAUCUACCAUUUGAUCCAGCAAUCCCACUACUAGGUAUCUAUCCAGAGGAAAAGAAGUCAUUAUAAGAAAAAGAUACUUGCACAUGCAUGUUUAUAGCGCACAAUUUGCAGUUGCAGAAAUAUGGAACCAGCCCAAAUGCCCAUCACAAUGAGUGGAUAAAGAAAAUAUGGUAUAUAUGGGUUAGGCGUGGUGGUUCACACCUGUAAUCCCAGCACUUUGGGAGGCCAAAGCCGGCAGAUCACAAGGUCAAGAGAUCAAGACCACCCUGGCCAACAUGGUGAAACCCCAUCUCUACUAAAAAUACAAAACCAAAAAAAAUUAGCUGGGCGUGGUGGCGCACACCUGUAGUCCCAGCUACCUGGGAGGCUGAGGCCAAAGAAUUGCUUGAACCCGGGACACAGAGGUUGCAGGGAGACAAGAUCAUGCUGCUGCACUCCAGCCUGCAUGUGUUUUACACUUACGGCAUAUCUCAAUGCAGAUGCUACCGGAAAAACUCUGAUCUACCCAAUUCUUCCCUUCUUCACCUACUGGCACAUGAUAAAAGUGGUGAGCUGUCCUGUCCAAUACAGUAUCCACUCAUCACGUGUGGCUACUUACAUUUAACUUAUAUUAAAUAAAAUUAAAACUUCAGUUCUUUGUGAUCUAAGAUAAGUU
rnacentral:lncRNA from 1 species